ACAUGAAGGAGCUUGGACGCGAUUCUUCCUCAGCUGAGCUGGAAAGGACUGCAGCCUGACCAGCACCUUGACUGCAGCCUUGCGAGAGCCCUGGAACCAGAAGCGCUCAGCCGAGCCACUCCUGGAUUUUCAGGACCCACAGAAACUCCACUCUAUGCAUUUUGAUUGGAGAAGUAAAUCCAUUUAAAGUAAUUAUUGACGGCGGUAAUACAGGGAUGGACUCAGACUAUACCUUCAGAUGAACCUGCAGGAGACUUCUAUGUGAAACAGAGGUAUGGGAGGAAGCAGGCAUAGCAUGGAAGCCUUUCUGGCAAGAGCAUCAGUGUGUUGAAGUGAUAUACAGAUUUCAGAGGAAGGAGUUGCCAA